rnacentral:rRNA from 1 species
AACGAAGCCUUCGGGCUUAGCGGCGGACGGGUUAGUAACGCGUGGGAACGUGCCCUUUUCUAAGGAAUAGCCACUGGAAACGGUGAGUAAUACCUUAUACGCCCUUCGGGGGAAAGAUUUAUCGGAGAAGGAUCGGCCCGCGUUAGAUUAGGUAGUUGGUGGGGUAAUGGCCUACCAAGCCUACGAUCUAUAGCUGGUUUUAGAGGAUGAUCAGCAACACUGGGACUGAGACACGGCCCAGACUCCUACGGGAGGCAGCAGUGGGGAAUCUUGGACAAUGGGCGCAAGCCUGAUCCAGCCAUGCCGCGUGAGUGAUGAAGGCCUUAGGGUCGUAAAGCUCUUUCGCCAGGGAUGAUAAUGACAGUACCUGGUAAAGAAACCCCGGCUAACUCCGUGCCAGCAGCCGCGGUAAUACGGAGGGGGUUAGCGUUGUUCGGAAUUACUGGGCGUAAAGCGCACGUAGGCGGACUGGAAAGUUGGGGGUGAAAUCCCGGGGCUCAACCUCGGAACUGCCUCCAAAACUACUAGUCUAGAGUUCGAGAGAGGUGAGUGGAAUUCCGAGUGUAGAGGUGAAAUUCGUAGAUAUUCGGAGGAACACCAGUGGCGAAGGCGGCUCACUGGC